rnacentral:rRNA from 1 species
GUAGGUGGCAAGCGUUGUCCGGAAUUAUUGGGCGUAAAGCGCGCGCAGGUGGUUCUUUAAGUCUGAUGUGAAAGCCCCCGGGCUCAACCGGGGAGGGUCAUUGGAAACUGGGGAACUUGAGUGCAGGAGAGGAAAGUGGAAUUCCACGUGUAGCGGUGAAAUGCGUAGAUAUGUGGAGGAACACCAGUGGCGAAGGCGACUUUCUGGCCUGUAACUGACACUGAGGCGCGAAAGCGUGGGGAGCAAACAGGAUUAGAUACCCUGGUAGUCCACGCCGUAAACGAUGAGUGCUAAGUGUUGGGGGGGUUUCCGCCCCUCAGUGCUGCAGCUAACGCAUAAAGCACUCCGCCUGGGGAGUACGGUCGCAAAGACUG